rnacentral:rRNA from 1 species
AUGGUCCUCACAGCCACAGACGCUGCAAUCUCCUGUGGCCAGGUGAGCUCUGCCUUGAGCCCCUGCAUCUCCUAUGCACGCGGCAGCGGCUCCAGCCCACCUGCGGCCUGCUGCAGUGGUGUCAGGAGUCUGGCCGGCGCAGCGCGGAGCACCGCUGACAAGCAAGCGGCGUGCAAGUGCAUUAAGAGUGCUGCUGGUGGGCUCAACGCUGGAAAGGCCGCUGGCAUCCCCUCCAAGUGCGGCGUCAGCAUCCCCUACGCCAUUAGCUCAUCCGUGGACUGCUCUAAGAUUCGCUGA